AGCAGAUUUUUGGUCUCUUCUAAAGACUGAUUAGGCAAUAAUGUCUAUCUGCUU
rnacentral:tRNA from 1 species